rnacentral:rRNA from 1 species
AGUCGAGCGGACCGACGGGAGCUUGCUCCCUUAGGUCAGCGGCGGACGGGUGAGUAACACGUGGGUAACCUGCCUGUAAGACUGGGAUAACUCCGGGAAACCGGGGCUAAUACCGGAUGCUUGAUUGAACCGCAUGGUUCAAUCAUAAAAGGUGGCUUUUAGCUACCACUUGCAGAUGGACCCGCGGCGCAUUAGCUAGUUGGUGAGGUAACGGCUCACCAAGGCGACGAUGCGUAGCCGACCUGAGAGGGUGAUCGGCCACACUGGGACUGAGACACGGCCCAGACUCCUACGGGAGGCAGCAGUAGGGAAUCUUCCGCAAUGGACGAAAGUCUGACGGAGCAACGCCGCGUGAGUGAUGAAGGUUUUCGGAUCGUAAAACUCUGUUGUUAGGGAAGAACAAGUACCGUUCGAAUAGGGCGGUACCUUGACGGUACCUAACCAGAAAGCCACGGCUAACUACGUGCCAGCAGCCGCGGUAAUACGUAGGUGGCAAGCGUUGUCCGGAAUUAUUGGGCGUAAAGCGCGCGCAGGCGGUUUCUUAAGUCUGAUGUGAAAGCCCCCGGCUCAACCGGGGAGGGUCAUUGGAAACUGGGGAACUUGAGUGCAGAAGAGGAGAGUGGAAUUCCACGUGUAGCGGUGAAAUGCGUAGAGAUGUGGAGGAACACCAGUGGCGAAGGCGACUCUCUGGUCUGUAACUGACGCUGAGGCGCGAAAGCGUGGGGAGCGAACAGGAUUAGAUACCCUGGUAGUCCACGCCGUAAACGAUGAGUGCUAAGUGUUAGAGGGUUUCCGCCCUUUAGUGCUGCAGCAAACGCAUUAAGCACUCCGCCUGGGGAGUACGGUCGCAAGACUGAAACUCAAAGGAAUUGACGGGGGCCCGCACAAGCGGUGGAGCAUGUGGUUUAAUUCGAAGCAACGCGAAGAACCUUACCAGGUCUUGACAUCCUCUGACAACCCUAGAGAUAGGGCUUCCCCUUCGGGGGCAGAGUGACAGGUGGUGCAUGGUUGUCGUCAGCUCGUGUCGUGAGAUGUUGGGUUAAGUCCCGCAACGAGCCCAACCCUUGAUCUUAGUUGCCAGCAUUCAGUUGGGCACUCUAAGGUGACUGCCG